UCUGUCAUUAACUUAACUUUAUAUUAAUCUUAAAAGACGAAAUAUGACGAUCUAUGGUUCCAAGUCACAGUUCAAUUCAAAUCGCUAGUGGUCGUCUCUUCUUGAGUUGAGUCCGAAGUUGUUACUCGCCUCUGCGAUCAAACGGCAACAGGUUUUAGCUGCCAUGCGAAUUAUUUCCAAACCAACUUGCUGUUGAAUGGUGUUUGCGAAUUGGCUGACAAUUUCUUAACGGGUUAAAAGGAAGUAAUGUCCAGCUUUAUUCACAAGUUCCGUAAACCAAUAGCUGUUUGCUCUUAAUUUGCUGUUGAAUGGUGUUUGCGAAUCGGCUGAGAAUUUAUUGGAGGGUUGAAAGUGAAAAGGCAGUGACGUCCCACUUGAUUAAUGAAUUACGUAACCUGGACAUGUUUGCUGACCUGGUCAGAUAAAAGUGGUCUUGCUUUUCAUGAAGUAGGACUUAACGUCAUGGUCAAUGCGACCUAUGCCUAUGGCAAUCUGAGGUUUGAGAAUGAGUUUGAAAAGGCGGGGAAAUUAAUUUAAUCAGUAUUUAUGGGGCACUUUUAAUAUCAUUCUUUGGUCUCUCUAUCUUUUUCUUUCUUCUUCUGUGCCAUGUGUCUGCAACUUGUCAACAAUGGUCUUUAUGUGUUUACUGUUUGAAGUGUCUGAAUUGUUUUUGAUUCUCUGAAAAUGCAUUUUGUUUUCUUUUUGGCGAUGAGUGCUUGUUCUGUCGUGUGUGGUUUGCCUUAUUUGUUGUUGAUGAACUUGUCAUGAAAGUGCUCUGAAACUAUCUGCCCUGCCUCUGAGUGUUUUGUGUCUGAUCUUGUACUAUCUCUGCUCUUGCCACUGACUUGAAUCUUGAAUUGCUUAUUCGUUGUUGAUGAACUUGUCAUGAAAGUGCUCUGAAUUUAUCUGCCCUACCCCUGAAAGUGUUUUGUGUUUGAUUUGGUACUAUCUCUGAUCUUGCCACUGACUUGAAUUGCUUAUUUGUUGUUGAUGAACAUUUGAUUUUUGUCGAUUAACCCUGUGCUGUGCCCUUGCCAUUUAUUGAGUGCUCGUAAAUAUGUGUUACCGUACUGAUUUCUGUUCUGUUUUUGUCUUUGAAGUGUUCUGUGUUUGUUUAUUUUGAAUGACUGUUUUGAUGGUGAUGCUUUACUGUUUGGUUUGAAAUUUUCUUGACUCUGUGCUGUGUUCUCCAUGCAAUAUUUUCCCAGUCUUAUUUGUUUUGAUGAAGUGUUGAAAUAAUUUCUUUCAAAUUUGAUCUGAUGUCCUGUGUCUUAAUCUCUAUCUCAUAUAAUUUAAAUGGCACUAUAUACCUACUUUGGGUUUCCUUGGGUUCACUGGCUUUUUCUCCAUCUUUCUUUAAUUCUUUCUGGGGUUUUGGUUUUAAAGCCUUUUCAUUCUCAUACUUAUCACCCAAAGAUGCUGUUGCAUAUUGUACUGAGGUGCUGCUAGUAUUAAUGACUUAGAUAAACUUCAGAGGUGCAGCUACGAUUAAUUUUCACCACCAUGGCAACACAGUCCAGAUUUUCUCUAAAGUUAUUUUAAUGGACCAAUUAGCAUAUGUAGAGCCAGGGAUUCUCUGUGAUAUUCCCACGUGGUUUGCAACUCUCUUCUAUACAUUCCACCAAAUAUUCUUCGUCGUUUGCUUAUCUAGAAGUAUUCCAAUCUUGUGACAUCUGCUCCGCUAAUCACCUGUAUAUUAAUUAUCGCUCUGGUUUGAGUUGAAUUUCAAAGACUCGUCAUGGCAUUGGUCUUUCAUUGAUGAUUAUUUGUAUCUAAUUACCAUGAACAAUUG